ensembl:lncRNA LOC108350764 uncharacterized LOC108350764
CAUAAAGACUCGGUGCCCAUGUGUGUGGCCAGGAGCUGCUGUGGACCUCACCUUUAACAGGUACAGAGUCAUCUGCCUCUGGGAUCGCCCUCAAGAUGGUGUCAAAUGCUGCUUCUGAAAUGGAGUCUCCCAAAGCAAGACAGCUGAACCAGGUGGCUUCCCUAAAGCGACAAGAGCUAACUUCCAACAACUUCUCACCAGCAACUUCUCCGGCCCACCUUACAGAACCGAAAGACAAUGACGAAGCAGACUAUGUCUUACCCAGGACUGCUUCAUGAUGCAUAGCUCUUGCCCCUGUCCUUGUUCUUCCUCCAUUUAAACCUGAACACCCCAGAGGCAGACCUUCUUGUUUGCUUCUCUUUCCCACGGGGCUGCAUUAAUAAAUCUCCAUGCU